UUUAUUUAUUUAAUGAGGGGGAGAAUACAAGCAGGGGAGGGACGGAGAGAAAGGGAGAGAGAAUCCCAAGCAGGCUCCGUGCUGUCAGCGCAGAGCCUGACGUGGUUCUCGGUCUCAUGAACGGUGAGAUCAUGACCUGAGCCAAAAUCAAGAGUCGGCUGGACGCUUGACUGACUGAGCCAUGAGGCGCCUUUUUUUUUUUUUUUUUAAGAGGGGAGAAGUACGAACACAUUUGUGUGCUGAAGGGAAUGGUUCACCGGAGAGGGGGAAGGUGAUCGCCUGGAGAGAUUUCUGGGAGCCUCUGCAAUUCCCGCGUGCAGAAGAAGAGCGGGCAGGGGGUUGAGUGAACCCCGUGGUGGCCUUGCCCAGCAAGGGUGACAACACUGCCAACGAGAAAAAGGGAGCCUGUGUGCAGUGUGGUGUCCACGCAGUGACCACGUAACUUAAGGUCUCUGCUCCAGUAUCAUUUUCUCAGCAAGGCCAGACUUCAUCAUCUUAUUUAAAAUUGCUCUCUGUAUUUAAAAGUCUCUUAUGGUUUGUCUCCCUCUCUUUUUUUUUUUUUUUAUUAUUUCUGCUUCCCUUCCCUUAUGUUCAUCUGUUUUGUAUCUUAAAUUCCACAUAUGAGUGAAAUAAUGUGAUGUUUGUUUCUCUGACUGACUUAUUUCACUUAGCAUAAUAUACUGUAUAUAAUAAUAUAAUAUAAUAUAUAAUACAUGUUGCAAAUGACAAUAUGUCAUUCUUUUUGACUGCUGUGUAAUAUUCCAUUGCGUAUAUAUGUGCAUAUAAAUACCACAUCUUCUUUAUCCAUUCAUCCAUCGAUGGACGUUUGGGCUCUUUCCACACUUUGGCUAUUGUUGAUAGUGCUGCUAUAAACAUUAGGGUGCACGUGCCCCUUCGAAUCAGCACUCCUGUAUCCUUUGGAUGCCUAGUAGUGCAGUGAUAUAAAAACAGAGAGGAAGACAAACCAUGAGAGACUCUUAAAUACAGAGAGCAAACUGAGGGU